rnacentral:rRNA from 1 species
UACGUAGGGGGCAAGCGUUGUCCGGAUUUAUUGGGCGUAAAGAGCGUGUAGGCGGCCAGAUAGGUCAGCUGUGAAAACUCGAGGCUCAACCUCGAGACGUCGGUUGAAACCAUCUGGCUAGAGUCCGGAAGAGGAGAGUGGAAUUCCUGGUGUAGCGGUGGAAUGCGCAGAUAUCAGGAAGAACACCCGUGGCUAAGGCGGCUCUCUAGUACGGUACUGACGCUGAGACGCGAAAGCGUGGGGAGCGAACAGG